UACGAAGGGGGGCUAGCGUUGCUCGGAAUCACUGGGCGUAAAGGGUGCGUAGGCGGGUUUUUAAGUCAGAGGUGAAAUCCUGGAGCUCAACUCCAGAACUGCCUCCGAUACUGAGAGCCUCGAGUCCGGGAGAGGUGAGUGGAACUGCGAGUGUAGAGGUGAAAUUCGUAGAUAUUCGCAAGAACACCAGUGGCGAAGGCGGCUCACUGGCCCGGUACUGACGCUGAGGUGCGAAAGCGUGGGGAGCAAACAGGG
rnacentral:rRNA from 1 species